rnacentral:lncRNA from 1 species
GCAGCUUCUUCAAUCUUGAGCUGUGACCCCUUGUGGGGCGAGCGUCCGCCAGCUCCAAUGAAGACGAGCCCGGGAGGACGCAGUGACAUUCACCGAGUGACUAAAAGGCGAGGAAUAGUCAAGAACCAUCUACACGAAUUCAUACAGAAGACGUAAAGUGGACGCCAUGAGACUGACCAAAGAUCAUAUAAGAAAUUGUCCCAAAUACAAUAAUUGAGACAAACCAAAUAAAAGUCACUCUACUUCCUCACUGUGCUAAUAAGUAUAAAUACCGUAUAUAAAAUCCUCGUGGGACUUAGUAUUUCAGCAAUUGCCACACAAAUUCGCAGAGCCUUCUUUUGUGUGUAUUUACAGCUGAAUCGCCAGGCAAGAUGAUGGGGGGUGAAGGAGGGGGGUUUUGAGAAUUGCAAUUAAAUGCCAGGUAGUGACGUGUCCUCCUAAUAUUACUUAUUAAGUAAUUAUUAAUUGUUUUAAUUCCCUGUAUGUUGGCCUGGUGAGUUACCUAGGAAUUAACAUACCUAGGUAACAUGCUGUGCGUCGCAUUCUGACGAACAAAAAUAAAGGAUAAGCCAGCCCCACUAACUGACAUCAGAAAAAAAAACAACAACAAUUAUUGCAUUGUACCACAGGUACUACAGGUAUAUGAAAAUUGGUAUCUUGCGACAUUCCUCCCUUCAAUAUCAAAACCUUUAAAAUACAGACUAUAUAAGGAGUCUGAACGAAUAAACACCAAUAAUAAUAAUAAUGAGGUGAAAAAACUUUUCAUAGUAUUUAUUGAGAUGCAGGAGGUUGAGUCAGGGCAAGCCAAUUAGGUACAUGGUAAGUUCAGUUAGUGACAUUGAAAAGAGGAUGCAAAUAACAAGACUUAAGAUUGGAGCAUGAAAGACCCACUAUUUUGUUGAAAGAGGAGUGAUGGAGGUUCAGAAAUGUAGAGAUUAUUAAGUCUAACUUUUAACAGAAUAUCUUCAAUGACAACCAUCACACUGUUGGAUACCUUAAAAGACUUCAGGUGUGACUUAGUAGAGCUGUCCUGGCAACAAAUGAUAUUCACUUGAAUAAUGUACAGUCCCCCCAAAAAGUAUCAAUGUUUCUGAAUGGUGGUAGUACUACAUCCAUGACCUUUGAGCAUGAAUGAAUAUACUGUAUGUUUUAGAUCCUCCGAGGCUUCAAAUCAUAUAUUACAUGAAUCAGAAUGGAUGUCGUAAAUGGACACUAAUGACAUGCCAGCCAUCAAAGGGAUCCGAGGAAUGAGGAAUUGUCGGGGAGACAUAAAAUGCGAGAGGUGCUAUCAUAUGCCCUUCUUAACGAGGGUAUACGUAACACUGAGACACGGCAUGAACCCACAUCAUGAUGGGUUAGGCGCCAUGAAAUAACUGGUAACACACUGAAACUUACAACCACAAAUGUCUUACUAUAAGUGGAAUAAGGGUUCUGUUCUUGGAAGUCUCUUGAUUUGAAACCUUAUUUCAGUGUUAAAACAAAGCAAUUUACAUAUCAGUAACAUUAAACUGCCAAUAGAAAGGUUUGAUACAGAAUACAAAGUUUAUCAGUUUGUAAUUAAAACAAGUCAAACUCUGGAAGCUAGGCAGUCUCAGUAGAUACCUGUGCAUAAACCAUAUACAUGUAUUUUGAUGUCUUAUAUUUGUACAUAUUUAACCAUCCUCAACACUUAUAUAAACCCCACACUGCCUUGCUCCACAUCGCACCCUCAACUUAUUACCAUCACUCCUAUUUACACUUUCAUUUGAUAAAUAAAUUAUUUAACUAAAAUUUGGUAUACUGUACUAAGAUAAAUAAUGCCCUCCUUAUUAAAUAUUAACACUUGGGCAGGUAGCUACAUAAAUGAUUGCCAAUCAAGCCAGUAGUUCACAAGAGUUCUGGAGGUAAUACAAUUGGGAUAAUUUAUAGAAAAUAUGUCCAUUAUCACAUCCUGUAUAUCGCUUUCCACAUUGAUUAAAUAGCGAGUCCACUUUUUGAGGCAAAUGCAAGAAUUGUAAACGUCAUGUCAAAAUAUUAGCCAUACUGUACUGUACACUGUUAUAAAUAAUAUACUGUACUGCACACUGUUAUAAACUAAAUUUUGAAUUGCUUUAACCUGAAACAGUGAUAUUCUGUACUGUUUGGUCACAUUAAAACUUUUUGGAUACAGUAUUUUAUUUCCUAUACAGCAUUAAGAGAAUUACAAAUGACAAUUUAAAACUACACAGAUUUUAGCUUAUCUUCCCACAGUAGGUUCUUUUGGAAUAUUGUUAAAUUCCCUGUUAGACACCCCAGUCUAAGAUUUUUAAUGUAUCUUAUUACUUAGGACUCAUUAUCCUAACUUAACCUACAAGUAGUGGUGGUUCUCCAAAAGGCAUACAUUUCAUGUUUAAACAAUAUUACUGCACAGGGGGUCCCCAGGUUACGAACAAGUUCCAUUCCUGAGGACGUUCUCAAGUCAGAAAUGUACACAAGUCGGAACACACACUCUAUGAGCACUAUAUUAUAGCCCAAGUCCUUUAAUACAUCUUGAAUCACUUAAUAUAAGAGAAAAGAAUUAAUUGAAUGACAAAAUACAGUAAAGUAAAAAUUAAACCUGGGACUGGCUUGGAUGUAGAGAUGGGCAUUUGUAGGAGUGACAGGGGCUUUAUUGGGAUGGUUGAACUGAAACUUUCUUCUUUUCGUCAUAAAUAUCUCUGUAGAUAUUAAGUAAUACCUCUAUGAAUCUUGCUGUUUAAAUUUAACCAUUCCCUCAAUAAGACUGAAACCAUCUGCUAUUUCUUUUGUAAUGAAUCCCAUUGGUUCUGGAGUUUCAGUUUCCUCUACAUACUUUUGACAAAAUUUGUUUCUCCAGUUCAAUCAGGUCUUCAUUGCUUAAUUAUUCAGCAUUAGACUCAAGCAACUGUGUGACAACUGUGUGACAUCAUCCUCAUGACUAUCAAGCUGGAAUUGGUUCCUAAGGUCUACCACUGUCUGUGUCACUUCCCCAACAGUGAGUGGGCAGUGUUUUUUCCAAACAUUAUUUGUCCUUACCUUGAACCUGUUAAACCAGCCCCCUAUUAGCAACAAAAUCUUGCCCAUCACUUUCACCACCACACUUAGCCAUCAAGUCAGCAUAUAAUCUUCUCACUUUUUCCCAAAUCAAGGCUAGACUUAGAGGCAGAUCCCAUUGAUUUUGAUCUUCCACUCAUAUCACUAACAAUCUUUCCAUUUCAUUAAACAAUCCACUUCUUUGUUUAGUUAUCACAGUUGAGUACAUUGGUGAAGAUCCUUUUACAUGUACAAGAAUUUUCUCUAUGUCUUUCAAAAUUGUUCUGACCGUUGACCGACUGAAACCCAACGCCUUACCAAUCACUGAGGGGGUUUCAUCCUUUUCAGACCGUUUAAUUACAUUAACUUUCACUUCCAUUGUAAUUGGUUUCCUUUUCUUGGAUGCACUAUGUACCAUCACUUGCAUCAGGUUUGCAUUUGGGAGCCAUGAUGAAGGUCGAAAAAGAGUUAAUAAUAAUAACAAUAAAAACAGUUUGCACUUUGUACGUUUAGGCAGUGAGGAUAAAGUAUACCGAUGCUCCUGCUCCCUCAAGGCAGGUUUCUGGGUGCGACGCAUCACUCCCCAUGAGCCGCUUCACCUCCCUUCUACGCCACGCAAACUAGUUCUCGUAAAUAAUUGCUACAAACUAUUGUACUUAUGUUGGAUUUUAAAGGAUAAUUGACUUCUUUCGUAUCGGCGGGCGUUCGUAAGUCGGGGACCCCCUGUACUACUCUAUUAAGGUUCACUGGAUUCCUUUCUUCACAACAUUAAUUUAUAUAUCUCGUAACAAAUAUUUUACAAUAGUGCUAUAUCUAGUUGGAAUGCAAAUGUUGCUGGUGUCAUAUGGUUGUUAAAAAAAUAAAUAAAUAAAUAAAAAUAAUAUAACAGACAAAAAAUUCCUACCAUAAUUCUACUAUAAAUGACUUAUGUACAAAGAAAAGUGUCAUGUUACACUUACCAUGCCUUAUGUCCUGAAACCCACGACGAAGAAUUUUGGUAACAUUCCCUGUUGAGACUCGAACAUUCAAGCUUUGCUGUCACUGUACCCAAAUUCUUUGUUAUGGGUUUUGAUCACACCACUAGGAGGUGUAAGAUGACCUUUUUCUUUGACUGUACAUCUAUAAAUGAUCUUGAUCUAA